rnacentral:rRNA from 1 species
UACGUAGGGUGCAAGCGUUGUCCGGAAUUAUUGGGCGUAAAGAGCUCGUAGGCGGUUUGUUGCGUCGGCUGUGAAAUCCCGAGGCUCAACCUCGGGUCUGCAGUCGAUACGAGCAAACUAGAGUGUUGCAGGGGAGACUGGAAUUCCUGGUGUAGCGGUGAAAUGCGCAGAUAUCAGGAGGAACACCGGUGGCGAAGGCGAGUCUCUGGGCAACAACUGACGCUGAGGAGCGAAAGCGUGGGGAGCGAACAGG